UUAUCCACCAUCUUGAAUAGCCUUAACAUUCCAGGCCUCAAUAUCGACACGACUGGGUUCGAACGUAAGCUCCUGUCUAACGAUGGACCUGAGUGGAUGGGCCACGCUGAGAGGAGACUACUUCAAGCAAAACCAACAGAUUUGAAGCCUAACGUUGUGGUUGCUAAGGAUGGUAGUGGGAAAUAUGAUACCAUCACCAAGGCCUUGGCUGAAGUCCCUCCAAAAAGCCCCAAUCGAUUUAUUAUUCACAUUAAGGCUGGUACUUACAAGGAACAAGUCCUUUUACCUAAGGAGAUGACUAAUGUUAUGUUCAUCGGUGAUGGUCCAACUAAGACCAUCAUCACCAAUGACCUUAACUGCAUUAGGGAUCAUCCGCUUAAAACAUUCGGCACUGCAACGGUUGGUAAGUAGUAUUAUAUACAUAUAAGUUUUGGUGGUGAGGUGAGGUGACUAACUAGUAUGUAUGUUUGUGAAAUAUUGCAGGUGUGGAUGGGGCUGGUUUCAUGGCCAGGGACAUUGGAUUCGAGAACACAGCAGGACCUCCUGGUCAUCAAGCAGUAGCUUUUAGGGCAACAUGUGAUAUGGUCAUCAUGUUCAAUUGUCAUUUCAAUGGAUACCAAGACACCCUUUAUGCUCACAAACAGAAACAAUUUUAUAGGGAUUGUCUCAUCAGCGGGACAGUGGAUUUCAUUUUCGGGGAUGCGGCGAGUGUGUUCCAAAAUUGUCUGAUCAUUGCGAGGAAGCCCGGUGAAAACCAAAACAACAUGAUUACAGCCCACGGAAGGAAAUUCCCAUACACUCACUCAGCCAUUGUGCUUCAAAAUUGUACCAUCUCAGGCGCCCCUGACUACCUCCCGGUGAAGGACAAGAGCAAGACGUACCUUGGUCGUCCUUGGAAAGCUUUGGCGAGGACCAUCAUAAUGCAAAGCAAUAUUGAUGACAUCAUUACACCAGAGGGUUACUCCCCCAUGGAAGGCACCGUAGGACUAGACACCGGUUACUUUGUAGAGUUCCAAAAUAGGGGACCAGGGGCUAAAACCGAAGGCAGGGUCAAAUGGCCAGCUAUCAAGACAAUCGAUAUAAAUGAAGCCAAGAAAUGGACUCCUGGCGUCUUUCUUGAAACUGAAACUGACAAAUGGAUUUCGCAAACCGGCACUCCUUGUUAUCCUGACAUGGUCCCUGGAGUGUAAACUUCCAAAACCAUCGCCAUUAGUAUUCUUUUAUUAUCAUUAUUAGUAAUCAUGUUGUCGAUUAUUGAUUAAGUUAAACAAUUUUUUUCCUAUGUUUUAUUUAUAUUAAUAAUAUAUUCUUUAUUAUGGAAGGUGCAAACUAAAAUUAUUUUCUUAUUCCCCAACUAUAUAAAAAAAAUGUUAGAGAUAGAUAUAAAGUCUAAUAUGCUAUUAAACAAAAAAGAAACAAUAUUAUUAAGUUUGCUAUGUAUUUCAUUAAUUAAAAUAGUACAUGUUAAUAUAUUUUAUUAAUUUAUAUAAUAAUUUUUAAAAAAAUAUUUUUUAGUAUAUAUAAUUUUAAUAAUUUGUAGUUAUCAUUUAACAUAAAUGUUAUUUUAAUGUAUAAUAAACUAUUUAACAUAGAUAUAAUUUCAAUACUUUUAUUAUUUUAAUUUAUAAAUGUAAUUUAUAAUAUGCUAUUUAACGUAAUGUUUAAUAUAAAUAUUAUAUUUCAAAAUUAUAUAUGAUCUAGCGAGUGAAAAAAACUGAUGCAACACCCGGUUCGAUUUGUGCCUUUCUAUCGUUGAGUAUACUAACAACGACAACUUGGAGUCCUAAUCUGCUGAUUUUUAACACUUCUAGCGGAAUGCAAUAUAUGACAUCCGUGUCGGCGUACGACAUUCAUCCAAAUUGAAAAAUAAAAUUGUAAAUAUCAUUAUGUAUGAAUUUUUUUUACAAAUCAUUACGUAAUUAAUAUAGGUUUGAAAGAACAAGUUUCUAGCAUUGGCCUCUAAGCUUUAGCCUAACAACAACCUAAUAUGUUUCAACUCCUCGGGUAGUUCCAUGUAGCUCGACCCAUGGUUCCACCAGUACAAGCGAUAUGUUAGUCGAAACGUAUAAUAAAAAAAUUAUUGUAUUGAGUACGUAUUUGUUAAUAAAUGAUAUUUACCUUAUCACCAACGGGAGCAUAUUUGGGCCGGUCACAUUAGGAUGUAAAAUAAUAGUCGCCACCAGGACCACGACUACAGUAGGAAUAGACAACCAGCAAUCGAUGCCGCACUCAGUAUCGUGGCCCGACACAUCUCCCGGUAUAACAUGGACAAUACGAUAGAUUCCCAAUUUAAUUUCCCGCACUCAUUGAAGUCCACUAAAUGUAGUAGCAACCUUACGUGCAACAAAUUUCAAAAUUUGACGGGUAUUAAAAUGCCCCGAUUAACCUCAUGAUGUAUGCUUGGCGUAUUGUUCUAUGACGUCAUCCGUUCGGUCUACAAGGUCUUCAGGAAGCUUGUCGAAAUUAGCCUUUAACUAGUUCAUUGACAUCUACCCACUUUUGAACUUGUCUAGAACCUUCCACAAUAGUGAUUGGCAGAGACCCACUUUGCUUAGAACGACCGUUAAUCCAGUGGUGAUUGACCUAUCCACUGGCAAACCGAGUUGCAGCGUUACAUCGUCGAGUGUAAUUGUACACUUGCCGCUUAGAAUGUGGAAAGUGUGUCUUUCAGGCAUCUAUCUUUCCACCAAUGCAUUGAUUAGUGCCAAAUUGAGUUUGCAGCCCCUGAACAUUCGAGACGUAUGUAAGAAUCCAGCCGCUUGCAAGUGGCCACGAAUUUCAAGGAUCGCAGUCUUUCCCAUAUUAUGAAUGAAGCCCUACAGAAUAUGAUCAUCCACCUAUUUAUACAAUAAAAACAUUUUGAAAUUAAAAAAUAAUUAAGUUUAACAUUAUCGAAAUUAACGAAAUUUAAAUUUUUGGCUUACCAUUGCUACUUGGGUGGCGGAAAUAUACUUGUCGUCGAAGCGAAUUAGAGAUGCGACUAUUCGUAAAAAAUUGAUUUUAAAGAAUAAAAAUGAGAUAAUUAAAAAAUAUUAUUUUUAAAUGAAAAUAUCAAAAAAUUUAAAACGAGAGAGUUGAGAGAAUGAUGUGAAUGAAUAAAAAUAAAAUUUAGGGAUAUUUAUAGGGUAAAAAAAUAACCAUUGGUAUAUUUAAUUUUUUUUUUACUGUUGGUGCGGCAACAUACAAAAAGCUAUUGCUGAAAAGUUUGUCCAGCUAAACGAGCUUGCCAGAAAGCACGUACAGCUAGGCGCGCUUUCCUGACACCUGUACAAAAAGCUUACCCGACUGAACAUGCUUUCUAUUCAAUCCGACUUAUUUCCUUAAUUAAUUUUAAAAUCGGCCUUAAAAAUCUAAUUAAUUAAAAAACGAACUUUUGGACUUAUUUUGCCCUAAUUAAUAGCCAUGAAUUAUUUUGGAUAAAAAUCAAUGUUAAGAAUUAGUUAUUGAAAAAAAUUAUGCUUUUAAUUAGAGGGAUAAGUAUGAAAUUUAAAAUAAAGUGCUUUGGACUUUUUUUUAAUACUAAAGUUAACCUAAUAAAUAAUAUUUAAAUUGUUUAUUUUGUCAAUAACAUUAAUGCUGUAUUUGGAUUGAAUUAAUAUGUGGUUUAAAAUGUAUAAUAAAUACAAAACAAAUUGUAAUGUUAUUAAAAUACAUAUAUAAUGAAAUUUUAGUAAAUAAUAAGUUUUUUAGACUCGCUUGCUCAAAUAGAAUAAAGAGAAAAAAACAUCCCCACAAACAAACUGGAGGCAAGUAUCUGCAGCAAGUCUCGACAGUGUACAACAACAUUCCAUCGAAGGAAAGUGGAGAUGGUUGAAGACGAGCUGCAGCAAGUAUGGUGAUGUGGCGGAUGCUUUAAUCCCUACAAAAACAAGUGUAAAUGGAUCAAAAUUUGGGUUUGUAAGAUUCUGUAAUCUCGAUGAAGCAAUGGGUGUAGUUUCGAGGUUGAAUGGUGAAGUUAGGUUGGCAAGGUUUCAACCAAGAAAUACGUACUGAAGAAGGAAAACGGCACAAGAUCGAUUUGGCCAUGAUGCUGGGAAACAUGUAAAACUGAACCAAAGUGGGUUAAAAGAAGAUAGCUGCCCAAGUACCAAGUACUGAUGAUAACGAGCAAUGGAGGAAGCAAAAUCUGAAAGUGAUAAGGAGAAGAACGAGAAACGUUUGGUGGAUGAAUCAGGAAAGAAGGAAAAAGAUGCGAUGAUGAAGGAAGUAGGCCGUUCUUGAUAUUUUUAGCCCCCAACAAAACAAUAAAAUAAGGUUUUAGGUUUAUUAAAAAUUGUAGAAAUUUUUUUUUAGAUACCUUAAAAGUUAAUAAAAUAAUUUUUGGGCCUCUUAAAAGUAAAAAAAAAAAGAAGCUGUUUAGACCCAUUAAAAAUUAGUAAAAGAAUUUUCUUAACUUUUAAAAAUUAUAAAUGUUUCUUUAAGCCUCUUAACAACCGAAAAAUAAUAUUUUAAAUUUUUCAGUCUUAGGCCUUGAGCGGCCAUACUUCCAGACCACCUCAGAACCGGCCUAGAAGUAAGUAAUGAAAAUCUACACUAGAAAAAAGUUUAGCUGGUAAAACAACUCAACAUUUCACGAAAUUCAAAAGAAGAUAGAGAAACACCGAAGAUAGGUGGAUUUCAGGUAACGUGUUCUUUAUAGCUGAUAAAAUUGAAGGUGCGAAAUAAAGAGCACUUUGUAAGAGUAGCUGAGAUUGAUUGUAACACCCCUUACCCGAGACCGUUGCCGGAGUCGAGCAUGAGGCAUUACUUAGCUUAUCUUACUAAUUCGAAGCAUAAAAACUUGUUUUGAAAAUUAAUUUCACUAUUUACAGCAAUCUGUCCAAUCGCGCAGAAGUUACUAAAUUAAUUAUAAAUCGAGCUACGGAACUCAAAAUUUAACUCCGUAAAUUUUUCCUGAAACUAGACUCAUAUAUCUAUUUACCAUAAAAGUUUUAGAAUUUUUGAAUCAACCAAUUCGUACAGUUUAUUAGUUAAAGUCUCCCCUGUUUCACCACUUAACUGUCCUGACCUCUUGCCACUAAAAAUAAAUCUUCUCACUGUAGGAUUUUUAUAUGAAGUUCUUACUUGUUUCUAUAGAAAAUAGACUCAAUAAGGAAUCUAGAAAUAUAAACUAUAACUCAUAACCAUUUUUAUACAAUUUUUAAUGAUUUUCUAAACUCAGAACAGGGGACUCCAAAAACAGCUCUGACCCUGUCUCACUAAAAUUCACAUAUCUUAAAAUAUAAAUUUCCUUUUGCUACACCGUUAUUUUUCCAUGAAAAUAGACUCAACAAGAUUUAAUUCCAUAUAUCAUUCACCCUCUAAUUCAUUUUAUACCAUCCUAGGUAAUUUUUGAAAGUCACAUCACGGUGCUGCCUGAGUUCUGUUUCUUUGCAAAAUUUUAUCCUUUCAUGAUUUCCAUGCGUAAUUUAUCACCUAGACUUUCAUAACAACAAACACCUUCAUACUUAACCAUUUUAAUGACCAUACAUCAUAAAAUGCUUACACAUCAUUCGUUAGCAAAAUCAUAAUUACAAACAUGCAAAAUAACUAAAUCCCUAUACAUGCCAUAACUCAAACGUGUUUCAUCAUAAAAUACCGAGCAAUUGUGGUUGAUAGUGUGGACGAUCUCCGACUUCUUUAGGAUCCUUGAAGUAGCUUUGCAAUACUAUAAGAGAAAGAGAAAUAAAAGAAGUAAGCAUAAAGCUUAGUAAGUUUACUAGCAAAUAAAUAACAACAUUAAACACAAAUAAUUAAACUCAAGAGUCUAUAUCUCUAGUUUACUCUUUAGUUAAUCUCAUUCUAGUUCUCUUGCUUAUUUACUUAGUAUACUUGGGUGCAUAACUUACUCUUCUCUUGCUGCAUCGUUGAAUAUUAAUUGAUAAUAUAAUAAGUUCUUAACUCUUAUAACUUACCUGAGCUUGCCAUUUAUGUUUUUAACUAAACUUUCCUGAACAUGAUUCGUUUAUUAGCCCGUUGAGCUACAUUGGAACAAUAAGGAUACUCGGGUCUCUUCUGAUAAUAACAUGCCAAAGCCAUGUCCCAAACAUGGUCUUACAUGAGAUGUUCUCAUGUCGGUGCCCAUGCCAUGUCCAGACAUGGUCUUACGGGGGACCUCUCAUCUCGGUGCCAACGCCAUGUCCCAGACAUGGUCUUACAUGGGACCUCUCAUCUCGGUGCCAAUGCCAUGUCCCAGACAUGGUCUUACAUGGGACCUCUUUACCCGAAUGUCAUGACAUUCGUAUCCAGUACCAUCCUUAUGUAUCAACGAGACUUUUUAAUUUUAAUUUUCUAUCAUUUCAUGCUUGGAUCAUCAUCAAAUAAAUUCAUGAAAUAAAUUCAUAGUUGCUGGAAAAUAGCAGCAUUAAUAAUAAUUAUUGAAAUAUUGCAUUUAUUUACCAUAAACUUACCUCAGUACCAAAUAUAGCCCAAUUCACCAACUUAGUCUUCAACUUUAUUCUUCCCUUUGUCUAACCUCGAGUUUCGUUCUUCUUGAUCUAAAAUAGUAAAUUUAACUUAUUUAAUACUCACAUUUAUCAAAACAGCCGUCGACUCUAACUUUAUCAAAAUUACGAUUUUACCCCUAAACUUUUUCAUAAUUACAUUUUUCCCCAAGGCCCGAAAAUUAAACUUCAUAUCAUAUUAUUUUGUUUUAUGACAUGCUGAACAUUUUUCUCUUCUAUGAUAACAACAAAUUCUCACUCUAACACUUACUUAUGUACAUUAGAGAUUUUUACCGAUUAUGUCAACUUACUCGUUUUCGCUUAAAAUCGGCUAGCAAAAGUUGUUUAACAUAAUUUAUAGCUUUGUAAUCUAUCAUAAAACAUCAAAAUAAACACUUUUCACCUAUGAGUAUUUUUCAAAAUGUAAACCCUAGGUUAAAUUAUUACUAGAAUAAGCUAAAUUAAGCUAUCGAGACUCCAAAAACGUAAAUAACAUUAAAAACGGGGCUUGGGAUCACUUACUAUGGAGCUUGGAAGCUUGAAAACCCUAACUAUGACUUCUCCCCUUUCUGGUUUCUUCCAAAUGAAGAAGAUGAGCACAAUUUGCCAUCUUUUUCCCUUUUAAUUCAUUUUAAUUUCUAGAUUACCAAAUUGCCCCUAACUUAAAAAUUUCCUAUUUCACUUAUCUCAUGUCCUUUUUUGUCUACCAACUUAACCAAUGGUCUAAUUAUCAUAUAGGGACCUCCAAUUUAAAGCUUUAUAACAAUUGGACACCUCUAACAUGUAGAACUCAACUUUUGCACUUUUACAAUUUAGUCCUUUUGACUAAAUUGAGUGCCCAAACGUCAAAAUUUUCGAACGAAAUUUUCACAAAUCAUUUUUUGAAAUCAUAGACCAUAAAAAUAUAAUAAAAAUAAAAUUUUCUUCAUCGGAUUUGCGGUCCCGAAACUACUGUUCCGAUAACCUUGAAUUUAGGCCAUUACAUUGAUCAAGUAGUAAUUCCUGAUAGAUUUUAUUGCUGUGGGAAUGAGGUGAUGAUGUCGAGUCGAGAAGCCAUGAUAUAAAUGAAGAUCCAUCCAAAACAAACAUGGCUAAUGAUUUUCCGCAGAAUGCUUCAAGUGAAGAUGAAGGGUCGCGAACAAAGGUUGACGACGAUGAGCUGGAGGAUUCGGGGCAUGAAGUCGACAAUUUCAUUGGGAAUACUAACAACAAAUCUAAAGUUACGACAGAAAAUUUCAAGCAAUUGGAAAAAUAAAUGUUGAACAGGUGCUCAUUGUUAGACUUUACAAAAUAUUCAGAAAAGAAGACUUUCUUACUUUUUUAUUCUAUCUCAUUUAAUGCAUGCAGAAGACUCAUGCAUUUAUAGUCAUACGUACAAUGAAGAAACUGCUGAUAACAGACUAACUGCAAACGAUAACCAAAAUAACAGUUCUAACUACUUUGAUAACUACUCUAACACUCAUGAGAGAAGAUGGCUAGAGACAAUUAAUGCUAACGGCGGGUAAUUGGAAAAUAUUACCAUUGACAGGCAAGUUUUGUCGGAUGUGAGAGAAUCUGUUGAAUUAUGGGGUGAUGAUGGUAGAAAGUCAAAUAUUGAAGGUGACAUGAAAAGGGUGACGUUGCUUAGUAUUGAUAACAUGGGUGUAAACGAGACAGUUGAAGUGGAAGUAAGUAACCGGGAUAAGGAAGGUGAGUGUUGGCAAGUCCAAUUUCAAGAUGGAUCGGACACUAUCGUUGGGCCAUUUAGAUGGGAAUCAAGGUUCCGAUGAAACAGCUGAGGUGAUGGGUAGAGAUAAUACAACUGCAGGCAAGGAAUUGGUUGAAAUUACGAAGAGGAUAUUGAAGAGGAGUACAUAGCCAAAGGAGGCAGUAAAAGUUAAGAAAAUUGAGAAAGAAGAAACUUACGGCCAGUGGUGAACGCAUUCCGACUUCAAAAAUAGGAGGAAGGCGUUGAAGUUGGGUAAGAUUGUGGGACUACAAGUUGAUGGAGAUAAGGAUGGAGUUUUGAGAGAUUUGGCAGCAAUAGAGUUAGCUUUGUAGAAAGUUUGAUUUUGUUUUUCCUUUGGUGUACCAGUCAGUACCCUCAAACUUUCUUCUCUAAAAUAAGAUACUCUCUUGAUUUUGAAUGCUCUUUGGGUUCAUUGCCAAAGUCUUACAGACAGAUGAAACCACGGUGUUUGAAAUAUUAAAAAUUUGAUAAAAAAAAAUAGAAUUCAUUAAUAUGAAGUUAUUUGAAUUAAAUAUAUGUAAUAUUAUUGUACCCCAUAAUUUUACAUGAUAAUAUUAUGAUUAUAAUUAUUAUUAUUAUAAUUGCUGCUCAUGCACAGGAUUCGCUUUCACUGUAAAAAAUGUAUAAUAAUAGUCAAAAUUUAAACCUAUUAGAUUAAAAUAAAUAAUUAUAAUGCAUUUUAUAAUAUUAUUUUUUAAAAUUAUUUUUAGCUAAUUUUAAAUAAUAAAAUUUUAAUUAAAAAAUAAUUUUGAAAAAAAAAAACAGAAUGCCACAAAGAAUGAAUAUAUACCAUAUUAUAUUAUAUUAUAUUAUUUAUGAUAUGAUAUGAUUUCUUAUAAAUGUUUCAAACAACAUUAGUUGCCAUUUAAUCCACAAAGUUUUAAUUUUUAAGUGUCAAAGAAAAAACCUAAAACAUGAAAGUUAAUGUUUUUGUGGAAUGUGAAAAGAUUAAAAAAACCAAAUACUUAAUUUACAAUUUAGCAUUUAAAUUAUAUUUAUAUAUUAAUUAUUUUGGUACUUAAAAUAUCAGUUUAUCUAAAAAAUAUUUUAGAAGAAUUUCAAAGCUCGUUAUUUUAGAAGAAUAAGAAAAAGAAGAUUAAAAAACCAUAAUUUUAUAGAGCGAUUAAUAUCCUUGAAAUUUAAACAAAUUCUCACAUCCGUAGCGCACUCUCCACCAUGAAACAUUUCAAACUAAAUAUAGCCAAUUUUUGGGUUUUAACUGAUUCAUUUUUUAAUAUAAAUAUGGAACUUUAAUAGCAUAUUAUUCAACCUUCUGCUCAAGGGGCCAUAAGUGAUAAGCAAUAAGCAACUCCAGAACUUCAAAAAAGGUUUUCUUCUUUCUUGCUUUCUUUUCUUCAGGGGAAAGAAAGAGAGAAGAAGAAACUUCUUUUUGAAACAAAAAAAGUUGUUUAAAAAUGGCGAAUAAUGCUAUUAUUGGUAUUUGUGCGGUGUUCCUGGUGGCCUUGGUGGUAGCCGUGGUGGUGGGUGUUACGCACAUAAAAAACAAGAGCGAUGGUGAAGAGAUAUCAAGUUCGAACAAAGCUGUGCAAGCCCUAUGUCAACCCACGAAUUAUAAAGAGACGUGCCAGAAAAGCUUGGCGUCAUCAAAUUCUAGCGACGUUAAGGAGCUGAUAAGGACAGGUUUCCAAGCCGGGCUAGUCGAGAUAAAAAACGUGUUAGCCCAUUCAGUGACGGUCCAAGAGUUGAUCAAGGAUGAGAACAACAAAGCGGCACUUGGUGUCUGCCAAGAGGUGUUGGACUUAGCCAUUGAUGACUUUCAAAAGUCAUUCGACAUGCUAGGGGAAUACGACAUGAGCAAGAUUGGAAAAUACCUUUUGGAACUGAAGACCUGGCUAAGCGGUGCAUUCACGAGUCAACAGACAUGUAUAGACUCAUUCGCGGAAUCAAGUAACGAAUCAUCGCAGAAGAUGCAAUCAAUCUUGAAGACUAGCAUGGAGAUUACUAGCAAUGCUUUAGCCAUGCUUAAUGGGUUAUCCACCAUCGUGAAGGAACUUAACAUUCCAAACGUCGGCAACAUCGACACCACGGGGGUCAACCGUAAGCUUUUGUCGGCUGAGGAUAUGCCUGAGUGGAUUAGUCAAGCUGACCGAAAACUCCUUCAAGCAAAACCAAUGGAUUUGAAACCUAACGUUGUGGUUGCUAAAGAUGGUAGCGGGAAAUAUGAUACUAUUAACAAGGCAUUGGCUGAAGUCCCUGUGAAAAGUCCCGAUCGAUUUGUUAUUCACAUUAAGGCUGGUACUUACAAGGAGCAAAUCAACUUGACCAAGAAGAUGACUAAUGUUGUAUUCAUUGGUGAUGGCCCAACCAAGACCAUUAUCACAAAUGACAUUAGCGUCGCUAAGAAUCCACCGGUUAGAACAUACCGCACUGCAACUGUUGGUAAGUAGUAUUAUAUACAUAUAUAAGUUUUGGUGGUGAAGUGUGGUGGCUAACUAGUAUAUAUGUAUGCAUGUUUGUGAAAUAUUUUAGCUGCGGAUGGGGCUGGUUUCAUGGCCAAGGACAUUGGAUUCGAUAACUCAGCAGGACCCGAAGGUCAUCAAGCAGUUGCCUUUAGGGCUACUGCUGAUAGGGUCAUCAUGUUCAACUGCCAUUUCACUGGGGUACCAAGACACUCUUUACGCUCACAGAGAGAGACAAUUAUAUAGCAACUGUCUCAUCACCGGAACGGUGGAUUUCAUCUUCGGGGAUGCGGCGAGCAUUUUCCAGAACUGUAUGCUCGUCGUGAGGAAGCCAGGGCCAGGCCAAAACUGCAUGGUUACUGCACAAGGAAGGAAUGAUCUUGGAACAAACUCAGCCAUUGUGCUUCAAAACUGCACCAUCUCGGGGGCCCCUGAUUACAUCCCAGUGAAGGAUAAGAACAAGGCGUACUUGGGGCGUCCUUGGAAACAAUUCGCUAGGUCCAUCAUAAUGCAAUCUAGGAUCGACGACAUCAUUCAACCAGAGGGUUAUGCCCCCAUGACAGGCACCAUAGGAAUAGACACUUCUUUCAUUGCCGAGUUUGGAAACAGGGGACCCGGUGCCGAUACCAGCCGUAGGGUAGCAUGGAAAGGUAUCAAAAAGAUAGAUAUAAAUGAAGCCAACAAAUGGACUCCUCGCAUCUUUCUCGAAUCCGAGACUUGGAUUCCGAGUUCCAGCGUUCCCUAUAGUCCCGACAUGGUCCCUGGAGUCUAAGCAGCUUAUUAUCAAUACCAACGCCAUUAGUUUGCUUAUUAUCAUAUCAUUGUUGUAAUUAUGUCGUUUUUUACUAAUUAAUUAAACUGUUUUUUUUAUCUUUUAUCUAUCUAUGUAUAUAUAUUGAAUUCUUUGGUUUCCUAAUUGUUGUUUCCAUUCACUUAUUAAUGAUGUUUGCAAAACCCAAAAAUUAAGUCAACGUUUAAAUAUUAUUGAACUUAAUUUAAUAUAAUUUUUUUAAAGAUUAUUUGGAUUGAUAAUGUUGUUUCCCUAAUGUAGAUACAUUCUUUAAAUAGAUUUAAUAAAAUUAUUAUUAUCAAACUUAAUUGCAAGAUUUAAUAAAAAAAUAGUUUAUUUAUAAUAAUUACUAAUAUAAUAUUAAAAAUUAAUAAAAACAAUUAUAUUAUAAAAAAUCAAUCUUAUUUUUUAUUUUUUUAUAUGGACUUAAGCAAGCAUCCCACUCGUGGAAUCAAAGAUUUGAUCAAGCGGUAAAGAUUUUUGAAUUUGAGCAGAACAGAGAAGAACAUUGUGUUUAUAAACAUUUAGGGGAUGAAAAGGUGGUAUUUCUCUUUCUACAUGUCGGGUGAAAUUCUACUAGUUGAGAAUGAUGUAGGGAUAUUGUCAUCGUUUAAACUAUGGUUAACCUAACAAUUUAAGAUGAAGGACCUGUGAGAAGCUAAUUUUGUUCUGGGUAUUCGAAAGAACAAAGUGAUAGCACUAUCGCAAGAUUCAUACAUAGACAAGAUAUUGUAGCGCUAUGUUAUAAGUGAUUUGAAGAAGGGUAAUCAAUCUUCUAAUAUCGAGAAUUCACCUUUCUUUGGAGGAUUGUCUUAAGACACUGGAAGAAAAUGAGAACAUCAGAAAGAUUCAUUAUGCUUCAACAAUAGGAAGUCUCAUGUAUGCUAUGUUGUGCAUGCAACCAAAUAUCUAUUUUGCAGUAGGUUUGGUGAGUCGAUAUCAGGUGAAUCCAAGACUAAGACGCUGACAAACAAUUAGUACAAUUAAUAAUGAUCAAUGAAUAGAAAAUGUUAGGUUUUUUUGUCGGACUCGUCCGUCAGCUUAGUUAAGAUGCAUUGAUGGGCUCCUUGUAGUUCAUUUCUAUCUGUAUUAGUCCAACACCCAUCAUGUCAUUCUAUCUAUCUUGGAUUGUUUCUUUCUCUGAAUUUACCUUUUCAGCUUGCUUUAAUGACCGACAACUUUUCUGUAGGUCACAACGAUUGAUGAUUUGCAACGCCACAUGAUUACACAACCACCGUAGCCUGCACUUAGCAUUUUUGCCUCGUAAUAAGGGUGCAAAGUAUGGUUUAAACUUGUCACUUAUCAUGUCUCUGCUUGUGUCAUUGCUCCAAAGUGGCUUUUCAGAUAUACUUAAGGUAAUGGUUGGCACGGGUGUUGCUGAAUGAAUUAGCUAGUGAAUUUGUACUAAACUUCCUAAAUCUCAGAUCUACAAAUUUUUAAGUUAUUCUAUUUUUGGUUUACUAUAUUGCUUCAUUCGUUGACGACAUGUCUCUUGCAAUGUCAGUGCACUCCGUGAUGCUUAUCGCUCAUCUAUACUUAUUUACUGCCCAACUUGAUUGAGUCUGGCUAUAUGAGCAUAGGUUCUAUCUAUAUAUAUUUUUCCAAUUUUGUUCAACAUCCGAAAAAUUCCUAGGCCUUCAAAUCUCCAAGGUUCAUGGUUAAGGUCUAAAGGUAUGCAAUGGCUAAUCAAUUUAAGUUUAUCAACUAUGUCUAUUAAUUUUUUUCUAUUUUGCCUUGAAAAUUCAUGUAUCAACAGACACUCUUCUACUAGCUCGACCUUAAUUACCAAUGUUUCUAUUGGUUGAUCUGCAUUAUGCUACUAUUAUAUUUCAGCUUUGUUGGUAGAAUCAAAGGGUUUUAGGACAAUGAGUUUCAUGAUGGUCUAAUUCUUUGGCUUGCUAGCCAUUUUCCCCACUAGCUCUAUAUCUUCCCCUUCUGCAGUGGUGUUUAACUCGUCUGGAUACUAUUUUGUCUGCUGAGAUGACUAAUAGUCUAGGAUUUCUACUUCUUCACAAGCGUCUAUAAUUUCAUUCUCUUCUUUGCUCAACUCCGGACUUAGCACAUCAUGGUACCUUUUUGAUGGUAUAUCAUUGUGGUUGUUAUUAUCUUUGGAAAGAUCUUCAUACAACCCUUCUUCAUAAGUAUUUUGAUCAUAAUCAAAGUCCUCGUCAGACCACAUAUAAUAGAAAUCAUUCGUGACUUUGUGCUGACUGAUUAUUUUGUGCCUAGGAUUCCUAAGAAUAAACAAAUGUUAAAAAUUUUAAUUAACAAAAUAAUUUGAAAGUUGUAACUAUAAACCACAAAUUUCCUAAUUAUUCUUUUAAAAUGAAAAAAAUCAAAAUCAAUCUAGUGACGUUACCUCCCCGACAAUGGCGCCAACAACUUGACCACCUUCGGACGUACUAACGCCCAACGUGUGAAUACUGCAAUAAAAUGGAUAAUUACGAGAUGGUAUCCAUAAGUGUAUAGGUCGAGUUGUAAUAUAGUUUUUACAAAGAAGUAGGUGAGUACUCCGAGGAUCGUACCUAGGGGAAGCAAGUGUUAGAUUAAUUCUAACCUAAACAUUAAAAGAUCUAAUUAGUACUUUAAAUAAAUUAUACUACGAAAGUAUAUAAAAAGGGUUUUUAAAGGUUUUUAAUAAUAAUAAAAUCAAAUAACAUAAAAGAAAUAAAACUAAAUAGAUAGAAGAGUAGAGUAAAUUAAAUCUUGAUUAUGGGUGAUUAGCUCGCUUUAGUAAUCCUCAUCAACUGUCACUUCGGGUUCCUUGUCAAUCAACUAGUCACUACCCUAGCAGGAUCUUCUGAUCUUCCACUAACAUAACAAGUCAGCAAGAACUACUUAUCUUCUGACCUCACAGUUCAAACUGGUUUGGGGUAAAGGUGUUCACGAAUGGGAAGUGCCAAUUUUGGAUUAAUUCCCACUUAGAUGACUUUUCGGGGUUGCCAAACCUAGGUUUUUUUUUUAUGUUCUUCCUUUUCCAAAUAGUUGAUCCCUUGAGUAAUCCUACAAAAUAGUUAAUAGAUCGUACAUCCACUCGCUAAUCCCCCAUACAAGGACUAGUUCCUCAUAGCUUUCAUAGACAAUAUAAAAUAAAUAUAAAGAGAAAACAUGCUAAUUAAAACGACAAGAUAAAGUAAAUGAAAAAGUCUGGUUGUAUUGAUGUUAAUUGUGAAUCCCCAAUGUUUGAAUGCUUCCACAAUUCAUAUUUCUUGAAAUCAACAAGAACAACUAAAAGAAAUCUAAAACCUAAUAACGAAAGAAAUUUAAACUGAAUUUUACAAAGAGAACUUAGGCUAAAGGAUUGAUGUCCAUAACAAGUGACAAAUGAGUCUAUUUAUAGCCUUCAGGUGGCCAUCGUCCUUAACCCUAGGUUAGCCGACGUUUCUAAACUUGAAAGUUUGAUUGUGCAGACCAAAAUGCUCUUACUUUGUGUUUUGAUUUCAUCACAGAGUCAAUGUUGUGACACACCAGGAACUGUGUUGCGACAUAGCAACCAGUAUACUCCUCUGCAACUAUCUUUAGUCUGUGCCUCGACACCCUCAGUCUGUGUCACGGAAUUGAUGGUAGUCUUGAACUUUCUUCAUUCUGCUCAUUAUGUUGCGACAUCAAGCAUCGCAUGUUGCAACAUAGUGACCAGUAUCAGUUUAGUAUGCCUUCUAAAAGUCUCCUACACACUCACCAAGUGCGUUAGCUCUCCUUUAGGCCUUAUUCAACCCAUAAGGCUAAUAAAAGACUCAAUUUGCACAUUUUAUUAAAUGUAAAUAAAACUAAGAAAACUUAACUAAAACAUAACGAAAGUGCUUGUAUUCAAACUCUUCAAAUACGAAAACUAGUUUGAUAUGCUACACCGAAUUAUGGUAGAUCAGUUAUGUAUGCAAAAUAUAAAAGACAUAAUAGUGAGAUGUGAAAUUAACUUUAUUUAUUUAUUCAUCAUUCAAAUAAAUAGAAAAUAAUUACAUGUUCACCACAAUAUGGGCACAUUUCCCAACACUCUACUCGUCGGGAACGGCAAGACAUUCGCGUUGUCAGGAAGAGCUUUCGUUUCUCAUUCGGACAAGACUAUCUGUUUAGGCCGAAUAGAGGCAUUCUCCCACAUAUUUGAUGAAACAAUUUAAAUUUAAAUUUAUUUUGUUAUGGUUUUUGGGACUAUAAUAUUUUUUAAUUUUGGGUUAUGGCAUGUGUUCUUUUUAAGUUCGGAUUUUUGCAUGCAUUCAAUUUCAUUAAAUUGAACAAACCAAAUUAAUCUUCUUAACAUCAUAUAAAAUAUGGUUUAGAGUAAAAAAUGAUGGUUUCACCUAAACAAAAAUCAACUAAGUUUACCCAAAAAUGUCACAACACAUAUUAAAUUUGGACUUUUAAGUUUAACUCAAUGUAAAAUCUUAUGUUUUUGAUAAAUAUAUGACUACUACCUAAUUUUUCUAAAAAUCGGAAAAAUAAAAGUUACGAUAACUAAACAGUUCUACUAGACCAUUUUGGUGGCCAAUGUAGCUUUCAAGAUCAAUUAUAAUGCCUGGUUUGGGUCUAGGGAAGUUACAGUUACGGCUGAAAAUUUCAAGCAAUUGGAAAAAGAUGGAGUUGAACAGGUGCUCACGAGAGAAGAUGGCUAGAGACAAUUAAUGCUAACGGCGGGGAAUUGGAAAAAAUUACUAUUGACAAGCAAGUUUUGUCGGAUGUGAGUGAAUAUGUUGAAUUAUGGGGUGGUGAUGGUAGAAAGUCAAAUAUUGAAGGUGACAUGAAAGGGGUGACGUUGCUUAGUACUGAUAACAUAGGUGUAAACGAGACAAUUGAAGUGGGAGUAAAUAACUGGGGCAAGGAAAGUAAGUGUUGGCAAGUCCAAUUUCAAGAUGGAUCGGACACUAGCGUUGGGCUAUUUAGAUGGGAAUAAGGUUACGUUGAAAUAGCUGAGGUGAUGGGUGGAGAUAAUAUAACUGCAGGCAAGGAAUUGGUUGAAAUUACGAAGAGGAAAUUGAAUAGGAGUAUAUAGCCAAAGGAGACAGUAAAGUUUUUUUAGUUACGAGUUUAAGCCUCCACCAAAAAUUCAAUUACAUUAUUUAACGUUGAUCUGAUAACAAAAUGUCCUGCACCAAUUGCGCAAUCUCUAGCCCCUUUAGACAUCACCACAUCUACCGCCUUGUUCGUCAUCCUUGAAGGAGGCAACAAACUUAUUUAAUAAUAUGAUUUGAAUUAAAUAUAUGUUUAAUAUUACUGUACCGCAUUAUUUUACAUCAUAAUAUUAUGAUUAUAAUAAUUAUUAUUUCAAUUUCUACUCAUGCACAGGUUUGCUUUAACAAUAAAGAAUCCAUAUUAAUAGUCAAAAUUUAAACAUAUUAAAUAAAAAUAAAUAAUAAUGCAUUUUUUAAUAUUAUUUUUUAAAAUUAUUUUUAAAUCAUUUUAAAUAAUAACAAUUUAAUUAAAUAUAAAUUUGAGAAUAAAUAUAUACAUUAUUUUAUUAUAUUAUUUAUGAUAUGAUAUGAUAUGAUUUCUUACAAAUGUUUCGAACAACAUUAGUUACCAUUUAAUCCACAAAGCUUUAAUUUAUAAGUGUCAAAGAAAAAUCCUAAAACACCAAAGUUAAUUUUUCGUGGAAUGUGAAAAGAUUUUAAAAAACUAAUAUUUAAUUUACAAUUUAGCAUUUAAAUUAAAUUUAUAUAUUAAUUAUUUCGAUACUUACAAUAUCAAUUUAUUUCAAAAAUAUUUUACUCAAACAUAUAUAAAAUAAGAAAUAGAAGAUUAAAACACCAUAGUUUUAUAGAGCCAUUAAUAUCCAUAAAAUUUAAACAAAUUCUCACAUCCGUAGGGCCCUCUCCACCAUGAAACAUUUUAAACUAAAUGUGGACAUUUUUUCGGUUUUAACUAAUUCAUUUUUUAAUAUAAAUAUGGAACUUCAAUAGCAUAUUAUUCAAGCUUCUGCUCAAGGGGCCAUAAGUGAUAAACAAUAAGAAGCCCCACAACUUCAAAUAAGGUUUUCUUCUUUCUUGCUUUCUUUUCUUCAGGGGGAAAGAAAGAGAGAAGAAGAUACUUUUUUUGAAACAAAAAAAAGUUGUUUAAAAAUGGCGAAUAAUGCUAUUAUUGGUAUUUGUGCGGUGUUCUUGGUGGCCUUGGUGGUAGCCGUGGUGGUGGGUGUUACGCACAUAAAAAAUAAGAGCGAUGGUGAAGAGAUAUCGAGUUCGAACAAAGCUGUGCAAGCCCUAUGUCAACCCACGAAUUAUAAAGAGACGUGCCAGAAAAGCUUGGCGUCAUCAAAUUCUAGCGACGUUAAGGAGCUGAUAAGGACAGGUUUCCAAGCCGGGCUAGUCGAGAUAAAGAACGUGUUAGCCCAUUCAGUGACGGUCCAAGAGUUGAUCAAGGAUGAGAACAACAAAGCGGCACUUGGUGUCUGCCAAGAGGUGUUGGACUUAGCCAUUGAUGACUUUCAAAAGUCAUUCGACAUGCUAGGGGAAUACGACAUGAGCAAGAUCGGAAAAUACCUUUUGGAACUGAAGACCUGGCUAAGCGGUGCAUUCACGAGUCAACAAACAUGUAUAGACUCAUUCGCGGAAUCAAGUAACGAAUCAUCGCAGAAGAUGCAAUCAAUCUUGAAGACUAGCAUGGAGAUUACUAGCAAUGCUUUAGCCAUGCUUAAUGGGUUAUCCACCAUCGUGAAGGAACUUAACAUUCCAAACGUCGGCAACAUCGACACCACGGGGGUCAACCGUAAGCUUUUGUCGGCUGAGGAUAUGCCUGAGUGGAUUAGUCAAGCUGACCGAAAACUCCUUCAAGCAAAACCAAUGGAUUUGAAACCUAACGUUGUGGUUGCUAAAGAUGGUAGCGGGAAAUAUGAUACUAUUAAUAAGGCAUUGGCUGAAGUCCCCGUGAAAAGUCCCGAUCGAUUUGUUAUUCACAUUAAGGCUGGUACUUACAAGGAGCAAAUCAACGUGACCAAGCAGAUG
rnacentral:lncRNA from 1 species